AACGCUAGCUACAGGCUUAACACAUGCAAGUCGAGGGGCAGCAUAGAAGUAGCAAUACUUUGGUGGCGACCGGCGCACGGGUGAGUAACGCGUAUGCAACCUACCUAUCAGAGGGGAAUAACCCGGCGAAAGUCGGACUAAUACCGCAUAAAACAGGGGCACCGCAUGGUGAUAUUUGUUAAAGAAAUUCGCUGAUAGAUGGGCAUGCGUUCCAUUAGGUAGUUGGUGAGGUAACGGCUCACCAAGCCGACGAUGGAUAGGGGAACUGAGAGGUUGGUCCCCCACACUGGUACUGAGACACGGACCAGACUCCUACGGGAGGCAGCAGUGAGGAAUAUUGGUCAAUGGGCGGGAGCCUGAACCAGCCAAGUCGCGUGAAGGAAGAAGGAUCUAUGGUUCGUAAACUUCUUUUGCAGGGGAAUAAAGUGCAGGACGUGUCCUGUUUUGUAUGUACCCUGAGAAUAAGGAUCGGCUAACUCCGUGCCAGCAGCCGCGGUAAUACGGAGGAUCCGAGCGUUAUCCGGAUUUAUUGGGUUUAAAGGGUGCGUAGGUGGUUUGAUAAGUCAGCGGUGAAAGUUUGCAGCUUAACUGUAAAAAUGCCGUUGAAACUGUCGGACUUGAGUGUAAAUGAGGUAGGCGGAAUGCGUGGUGUAGCGGUGAAAUGCAUAGAUAUCACGAAGAACUCCGAUUG
rnacentral:rRNA from 1 species